CCUACGGGUGGCAGCAGUGAGGAAUAUUGGUCAAUGGGCGAACGCCUGAACCAGCCAAGUCGCGUGAGGGAAUACUGCCCUAUGGGUUGUAAACCUCUUUUGUCGGGGAGCAAAAGCCGGACGUGUCCGGCUGUGAGAGUGCCCGAAGAGAAAGCAUCGGCUAACUCCGUGCCAGCAGCCGCGGUAAUACGGAGGAUGCGAGCGUUAUCCGGAUUUAUUGGGUUUAAAGGGUGCGCAGGCGGAUUUUUAAGUCAGCGGUAAAAUCGUGGGGCUCAACCACAGUCAGCCGUUGAAACUGGGGAUCUAGAGUGUGCGAGAGGUAUGCGGAAUGCGUGGUGUAGCGGUGAAAUGCAUAGAUAUCACGCAGAACCCCGAUUGCGAAGGCAGCAUACCGGUGCACAACUGACGCUCAGGCACGAAAGCGUGGGUAUCGAACAGGAUUAGAUACCCGAGUAGUC
rnacentral:rRNA from 1 species